AAGGAGGAGCAAAGACCCUGAUGAACACCAUCAUGCAGCUGAAGAAGAUCUGCAACCACCCCUACAUGUUCCCACACAUUGAGGAGUCCUUUGCUGAGCACUUAGGCUUCCCGAACGGCGUUAUAAGCGGACACGAGCUGUACCGUGCAUCGGGGAAGUUUGAGCUGCUGGACGGGAUCCUUCCCAAGCUGCAUGUCACCAACCACAGAGUUCUGCUGUUCUGUCAGAUGACAUCA